rnacentral:rRNA from 1 species
GUCUGUAUGAUUGUUAUAUAGAGUCUAGCCUGCCCACUGAUUUUUAUUAAAGGGCCGCGGUAUUUUGACCGUGCGAAGGUAGCAUAAUCAUUAGUCUUUUAAUUGGAGGCUUGUAUGAAUGGUUGGACAAAAAGUUAACUGUCUCGUUUAUAUUAAUUGAAUUUAACUUUUAAGUGAAAAGGCUUAAAUACUCUGGAGGGACGAUAAGACCCUAUAAAGCUUUACAAUAAGAUAAUUAAAUUAUAAAUUGUUAGUUUAACUUAAUUUAAUUAUUAUUUGUUUCGUUGGGGCGACGAGAAUAUAAUAGUAUAACUGUUCUUUUGCAAUUUAAACAAAAUUAAUUGGAUAAAAAUUGAUCCUUUAAUAAAGAUUAAAAGAUUAAGUUACUUUAGGGAUAACAGCGUAAUCUUCUUUAAGAGUCCAUAUCGACAAGAAGGGUUGCGACCUCGAUGUUGAAUUAAGGUAUCCUUACAAUGCAGCAGUUGUAAAGGAAGGUCUGUUCGACCUUUAAAUCCUU